GACGAACCGUCCUAACGUUGUUCGGAAUCACUGGGCUUAAAGGGCGCGUAGGCGGCUUGCCAAGUCAGGGGUGAAAUCCUGCAGCUUAACUGUAGAAGGGCCUUUGAUACUGGCGAGCUCGAGGGAGGUAGGGGUAUGUGGAACUUCCGGUGGAGCGGUGAAAUGCGUAGAGAUCGGCAGGAACACCCAGGGGGAAACCAGUCGACUGGGCAUCUACUGACGCUGAGGUGCGAGAGCGUGGGGAGCGAACCGG
rnacentral:rRNA from 1 species